AUUGAACGCUGGCGGCAUGCCUUACACAUGCAAGUCGAACAGCAGCGGGGGAGAAGCUUGCUUUUCCUGCCGGCGAGUGGCGAACGGGUGAGUAAUACAUCGGAACGUGCCCUGUAGUGGGGGAUAACUAGUCGAAAGAUUAGCUAAUACCGCAUACGACCUGAGGGUGAAAGUGGGGGACCGCAAGGCCUCAUGCUAUAGGAGCGGCCGAUGUCUGAUUAGCUAGCUGGUGGGGUAAAGGCCUACCAAGGCGACGAUCAGUAGCUGGUCUGAGAGGACGAUCAGCCACACUUGGACAGAGACACGGCCCAGACUCCUACGGGAGGCAGCAGUGGGGAAUUUUGGACAAUGGGCGAAAGCCUGAUCCAGCAAUGCCGCGUGUGUGAAGAAGGCCUUCGGGUUGUAAAGCACUUUUGUCCGGAAAGAAAUGGCUCUGGUUAAUACCUGGGGUCGAUGACGGUACCGGAAGAAUAAGGACCGGCUAACUACGUGCCAGCCGCCGCAGUAA
rnacentral:rRNA from 1 species